ACAAUAAUAUUACUGUGAUUCUGAUCUAAAUUAAUUUGAAAUUGUUUUAAUAGACUUUUCUAAAGGAUUUAUAGGAACGUGUACUCCUUAAAAGGUUAUAUACAAAAUGAGUACACAGACUUCUUGCGGCUACAUACUUAAUACUCAUGGAUAUAAUAGUUUAAUCGAAAAUGUUUGUGUCGACAAUCAAAUUAUUGAUGCUUUCGCAUAAAUCUGUUUUUUUUUUUUUCCAAAUUUGUAAUAGCAUGCAAUUUAUUGUUAUAUUUUGAAUGAAUAUGCAUGGGUUUGUAGCAUAUGUUAAUGGUGAAGAAACAAUAAAACUGUAUAAAAAAAGAAUUUACAAUUAUUAUAAGGAAUAAAGCAUUGGUAAGAAUUUUCUCAUUAACUAAUUAUGACAAACAACUCCACGUUUCUUUUAUAUAAACAAUUUAUCCUUGAUUUAAAUGAAUAAUAUUGAUGGAACAUGCAAAUACGAUUUCUCUAGAAAUAAAAUUAACAAUAGAGAAAGCACACAUAAUCCGAGAAAUAUCAUUUAUUAUGCCCAUAAUUUAAAUAUUAUCGUCAUAAAUAAGUAUUUUAAAGAAGAUUAAAUAAAAAUUACUCUAUUGAAGACAUUUUCUAAAGUAAUUUUAAAAAUUAAGAUGUUCGGCAAAAAGCCAAUACUUUUGAUUUUUGUUGUUGUUACUUGAAAAUUUCGUAAUUUACAAUUUAACUUUAAUGUUAUAUUUAAUGAAUAAAAAUGUUUUUCACGUUCGAAAAUGCGAUACGUACUGGCGGCGAAAGUUUACGAUGAAAAGUCGUCGACAAAUGUUGUAUUGUGCAAGAGAAAAUUCAUGUCGAUAUUGAAUCAUUAUGUGCAAUAUUAUCAUUAUUAUUAGUAUUAUUAAAUUUCAAUAGAAAGACAAGAAAAAUAAAUGAAAAACGCAAAAGAAUCUUCAUAUAUCACUGCUUUCAACUAAUUUACACGGACUUAUCGACAUCCCUAUCGGUAAAUCCAUUUAGGAACUAUUAUGUAUAAAUUAAACAACGAGCGACGUUAAACAAAAAAAAA